rnacentral:tRNA from 1 species
GCGACUAUGGUGAAAUGGUAAACGCGCCGUGUUAAGAUCGCGGUGGUCUUAGGCCUUGUAGAUUCAAGUUCUACUAGUCGUA